UUCUAGUGAUUCAACUGUGUGGAGUCGCUCUGCUCCUAAUUUACCGACUGAUGUUUGCUUUGUAACUGAUGCUUGUCCAGUGUCUUUGGUGUCAAAUUGUAAAGAUGCAGUUGCUGUCACAUGUGGUGAAGAGUCUACCUUGAAAAGACGAACUGUCACUGCUUCAACUUGCAGUCAAUACUAUUCUCAAGCUGCUGCUGGAACUAUUAUUCUAUCUCGUAAUAAUGUGUCUUCAACCUCUUAUUACUAUGGAACAAUUAGAGUCUACUAUAAUGGAUGGGGUA